UGAGUGUGCUAUUUCUCGUUGACUGGUAGUACCCGCCUGUGUUAAGAAGGAUUCUGACGCUGUGCCCGGGCUCAGUGGGAAUGCUGGGAUUGACUGAUGCAGACCGCCAUGAGCCUAGUAUGGGAAGUAACUGCAAAGAGCAAAGAUCCUCAAGACUGCAAAAGGAAGUCCAUUAUCUGUCUCACCGAUUUUGGGAUGUCCACAUGACAGGAAGUAUCUGUCCCAUUUCUCAGAGGAGGAAGCUGAGGCUGAGAGAGGUGGAAAGACUUGGCCCAAAUCCCACAGCAAGUAAGUAGUUAAGGAACUGUGCCUGGGUCCUAUAAUUAAAUCCACAGCCUUCCCCGUCCUAUUAUUCCACCUCCACAGGGGGGCUGUGGCUAGGCUCCAUGCAGCCACCAUGGGCUUUGGAACCAAGGCCACCUGUGUGGAGAAAGCCCUCCCAGGAGAUGAUCAGUCUUUUAACAACUAUGCUGGAACAUGAGCACAUGAAACUGUGAGUUGCAGUGUGCAUUAACUGGGAGAAUUAAUCACCACCCAAAGACUUAAUUAUUCAGAGAUAUUACCCCCUUUUCAAUACAUUCUCUUAAAAUGGGCCUGUGAAUGAGGCACCCAGAGUGGUUGAAUUCAGAGACAAAGUAGAAUGGUGGUUGCCGCCAGGGGCUGGGUGGAGGGAGGAAUGGACAGCGGUUGUUUAAUUGUGUGAAGAAUUUCAGUUUUGCGAGAUGAAAAGAGUUCUGGAGAAGAAUGGUGGUAAAAUAAUGUGAGUGUACUUAAUGACACUGAACUGUACACUUAAAAAUAGGGAAGAUGGUAAAUUGUUAUGUGCAUUUUAUCCCAAUUUUUUAAAAAGGGGAGGCUAGUGAGGAGCCCACUGAGGAAUUCUCUACCAAUAAGCCCCAAAUAUCAACUUGCUGUUUUACACCCCAAAUCCAAAAGUCACAAAGUAAAAUAUUUAAAACACUUAUAACAUGAGGGCCACCUGGGUGGCUCCAUUGGUUGGGUGUCUGACUUUGGCUCAGGUCAUGAUCUCACGGUUUGUGAGUUCAAGCCCUGCGUCGGGCUCUGUGCUGACAGCUCAGAGUCUGGAGCCUGCUUUGGAUUCUGUGUCUCCCUCUCUCUCUCUGCCCCUCCCUGACUUGUGCUGUCUCUGUCUCUCAAAAA